AUUUAAGUAGUUUAAAUAAAAUAUUGAUUUGUGGUAUCAAUGAUGUAUUAAAAUACCUUAAAUC
rnacentral:tRNA from 1 species